rnacentral:rRNA from 1 species
UACGUAGGGGGCAAGCGUUGUCCGGAUUUAUUGGGCGUAAAGAGCGUGUAGGCGGUCAGGUAGGUCCGUUGUGAAAACUCGAGGCUCAACCUCGAGACGCCGAUGGAAACCAUCUGACUAGAGUCCGGAAGAGGAGAGUGGAAUUCCUGGUGUAGCGGUGAAAUGCGCAGAUAUCAGGAAGAGCACCCGUGGCUAAGGCGGCUCUCUAGUACGGUACUGACGCUGAGACGCGAAAGCGUGGGGAGCGAACAGG